GACGUAGGGUGCAAGCGUUAAUCGGAAUUACUGGGCGUAAAGCGUGCGCAGGCGGUUUUGUAAGACAGAUGUGAAAUCCCCGGGCUCAACCUGGGAACUGCAUUUGUGACUGCAAGGCUAGAGUGCGUCAGAGGGAGGUGGAAUUCCGCGUGUAGCAGUGAAAUGCGUAGAGAUGCGGAGGAACACCGAUGGCGAAGGCAGCCUCCUGGGAUGACACUGACGCUCAUGCACGAAAGCGUGGGGAGCAAACAGG
rnacentral:rRNA from 1 species